AUUUUUGAAGAGACAAACAUUGAUAGAGGUGGUAUUAGGUGUGAGUGCAUUUGACUAAUUAAAUUGUUGAAAUUGUUUCAAGAAUCAUUUUUUUCAAAAUGCGUUUAAUUUUGGUAAGCCUUGAUUUAUGAAAUUUCUUACAACGAUGCUAUUUCCAUGCAGUAUCUGCCACUGAUAAUGAUGACUUUUUGUGCUGUCAGACACCAUUAAAGGGCAGUAAUGAAAGUGAGCAAGGUUUAUUCUUCUUCUCUUUUUUCCCCUUCCCCUGAUACCAGUAGUGGAUAAUGAAAUCUGUUUAUGACAUCAAGCAAUUGUACAAAUUCUUAUUUUUAGUCAUGGACACCCAAUUGACAGGUAUAGCCAUGUCCCUUGAAGAGACUAGUAGCAAUGUGGGUGAAAAAGAUUUACCUCAAGAGCAGAAUUCUGAUAAUACUGUUAAUGAUGACAUUUUAUGCUGUCAGACACCAUUGAAGGGCAGUGAUGGAAGUGAGCAUGGUUAGUUCAAUAGUACUUCCUUCAUUCUAAAAUUUAGAGAUACAUUUUGAUUUUUUAGAGGUCAAUUUGCAAAAUCCUAAAAUUCAUGAUGUGAUUUUGUUUAAGUUUUGAGAACAACAAAUAUGAUAAUAUUGUAAUACUCUAUAGACUAUAGUUGGUUAUAGUUAGUUUACAAUUGUUAUAGUUGUUGGUACAAAAUAUAAAUAAUUUUGUAUUGAUUUUGGAUUUUGUCAGUGCACUCCAAAAAGUAAAAUGUAUCUCUAAUUUUAGAACUUACGGAAAAACCUUUUAGUGGAAAUAUUACUUUCUAGCCGGCGUUCUUGUUGUUUUUCUCUUUUUUCUCCUCAUGAGGGUCAGUAGUAGAUGAUGAAAUAUGUUUAUGAAAUCAAGCAAUUUUACAAAUUCUUAAUCUUACUCAUGGACUCCCACAUGACAGGUAUGCCCAUUUCCAUUAGUGAAACUAGUAGGAAGGUUGGUGAAGAACGGGAACCUCAAGAAGUGCUGGGAGAAAAGGAAAGUAACAAUGAAUUCAAAGUCAAUAUGAUGCAAAUUACUGAGAAGGAAGUCACUAGCCC
rnacentral:lncRNA from 1 species